rnacentral:rRNA from 1 species
UAAGGAAUAUUGGUCAAUGGGCGGAAGCCUGAACCAGCCAUGCCGCGUGCAGGAUGACUGCCCUAUGGGUUGUAAACUGCUUUUGUCCAGGAAUAAACCUAGAUACGUGUAUCUAGCUGAAUGUACUGGAAGAAUAAGGAUCGGCUAACUCCGUGCCAGCAGCCGCGGUAAUACGGAGGAUCCGAGCGUUAUCCGGAUUUAUUGGGUUUAAAGGGUGCGUAGGCGGCCUAUUAAGUCAGGGGUGAAAUACGGUGGCUCAACCCAUCGCAGUGCCUUUGAUACUGAUGGGCUUGAAUCCAUUUGAAGUGGGCGGAAUAAGACAAGUAGCGGUGAAAUGCAUAGAUAUGUCUUAGAACUCCGAUUGCGAAGGCAGCUCACUAAGCUGGUAUUGACGCUGAUGCACGAAAGCGUGGGGAUCGAACAGGAUUAGAUACCCUGGUAGUCCACGCCCCUAAACGAUGAUAACUCGAUGUUGGCGAUAGACAGCC